rfam:Bombyx mori DNA, contig: Bm_scaf43_contig24178, strain: p50T/Dazao, build 2, whole genome shotgun sequence.
UUAAGUCAAAUUUGUAUGGAGUUGGAACGUUUGUCUACGUUUGCCGCAAGGAGCGUUGUUCUAACUGCAUACAAAUUGGGUUA